AGGAGGAGGUGUCAUCUGUGGACAAUACCUGGAAGGGCAAGGGGUGGUGGGUGUCACUAAUAGAAACCAGCCCCAGCUACUUCACUGCAGGCUGGUGCCCUGGUGAAGGUGAAUCAGUCAGAGGAGUGCCGACCGCCCACGGGGCUGCACCAUAUCAUGGUUCCCACUAGCAAUAUAUGAGAGUUCCAGUUGCUCCACAACCUUGCCAACAUAUGACAUGUGCUUUUGUUAAAGAUCUUGCUGUUGAUUCCCGGGCAAGAUGGCCGAAUAGGAACAGCUCAGGUCUGCAGCUCCCUGAGAGACCAACGCAGAAGGUGGGUGAUUUCUGCAUUUCCAACUGAGGUAGCUGGCUUAUCUCACUGGGACUGCUUAGACAGUGGGUGCAGCCCACAGAGGGCGAGUCGAAGCAGGGUGGGGUGUCACCUCACCCGGGAAGCGCAAGGUGUCGGGGAACUCCCUCCCCUAACCAAUGGAAGCCGUGAGGGAUUGUGCCUUGAGGAACCAUGUAUUCCAGCCCAGAUGCUAUGCUUUUCCCACAGUCUUCACAACCCAGAGACCAGGAGAUUCUCUUGGGUGUCUACACAACCAGGGCCCUGGGUUUCAAACACAAAGCUGGGUGGCCAUUUGGGCAGACACCGAGCUAGCUGCAGGAGUUUCUUUUCAUACUCCAGUGGCGCCUGGAAUGCCAGCGAGACAGAACCGUUCACUCCCCUGGAAAGGGGGCAGAAGCCAGGGAGCCGAGUGGUCUUGCUCAGCAGAUCCCACCUCCACAUGGCCCAGCAAGCUAAGAUACACUGGCUUGAAAUUCUUGCCGCCAGCACAUCAGUUUGAAGUCCACCUAGGAGGCUUGAGCUUGGUGUGGGGAGGGGUGUCUGCCAUUACUGAGACUUGAGUAGGUGGUUUUCCCCUCACAGUGUAAACAAAGCCCCUGGGAAGUUCGGACUGGUUGGAACCCACCACAGCGACGCGAAGGUGCUGUAGCCAGACUGCCUCCCUAUGUUCCUCUUCUCUAGGCAGGGCAUCUCUGAAAAAAAGGCAGCAGCCCCAGUCAGGAGCUUAUAGAUAAAACUCCCAUCUCCCUGGGACAGAGCACCUGUGGGAAGGGGCAGCUGUGGGCGCAGCUUCAGCAGACUUAAAUGUUCCUCCCUGCUGGCUCUGAAGUGAGCAGCGGACCUCCCAGCACAGCGCUCCAGCUCUGUUAAGGGACACAUUGCCUCCUCAAGUGGGUCCCUGACCCCUGUGCCUCCUGACAGGGAGACACCUCCCAGUAGGGGUCGACAGACACCUCAUACAGGGGAGCUCAGGCUGGCAUCUGGCAGGUGCCCCUCUGGGAUGAAGCUUACAGAGGAAGGAGAAGGGAGCAAUCUUUGCUGUUCUGCAGCCUCCGCUGGUGAUACCCAGGCAAACAGGGUCUGGAGUGGACCUCCAGCAAACUCCAGCAGAUCUGCAGAAGAGGGGCCUGUUAGAAAGAAAACUAACGAACAGGAGGCAAUAGCAUCAACAUCAUAAAAAAAAAACAACCACUCAAAAACCCCAUCAAAAGGUCACCAACAUCAAAGACCAAAGGUAGGCAAAUCUACGAAGAUGAAGAAAAACCAGCACAAAAAGGCUGAAAAUUCCAAAAACCAGAAUGCUUCAACUCCUCACCAGGAAGGGAACAAAACUGGAUGGAGAAUGAGUUUGAUGAAUUGACAGAAGUAGGCUUCUGAAGGUGGGUAAUAACAAGCUCCUCCUGAGCUAAAGGAGCAUAUUCUAACCCAAUACAAGGAGGCUAAGAACCUUGAAUAAAGGUUAGAUGAAUUGCUAACUAGAAUAACCAGUUUAGAGAAGAAAAUAAAUGGCCUGAUGGAGCUGAAAAACACAGCACAAGAACUUCGUGAAGCAUACACAAGUAUCAAUAGCCGAAUCAAUCAAGCAGAAGAAAAGAUAUCAGAGAUUGCAGAUCAACUUAAUGAAAUAAAGUGUGAAGACAAGACUAGAGAAAAAA